GGCCCCCUCGGCCCCGGCGCCGCGCGCCUGGCUGCUGCGGCCGGCCGGUCCGGUGCCGGUUCUGCUUCUGGCGGGCGUCC
rnacentral:tRNA from 1 species